GACGAACGCUGGCGGCGUGCUUAACACAUGCAAGUCGAACGGAAAGGCCCUGCUUUUGUGGGGUGCUCGAGUGGCGAACGGGUGAGUAACACGUGAGUAACCUGCCCUUGACUUUGGGAUAACUUCAGGAAACUGGGGCUAAUACCGGAUAGGAGCUCCUGCUGCAUGGUGGGGGUUGGAAAGUUUCGGCGGUUGGGGAUGGACUCGCGGCUUAUCAGCUUGUUGGUGGGGUAGUGGCUUACCAAGGCUUUGACGGGUAGCCGGCCUGCGAGGGUGACCGGCCAAAUUGGGACUGAGAUACGGCCCAGACGCCUACGGGAGGCAGCAGUGGGGAAUAUUGGACAAUGGGCGGAAGCCUGAUGCAGCAACGCCGCGUGCGGGGUGGAGGCCUUCGGGUUGUAAACCGCUUUCGCCUGUGACGAAGCGUGAGUGACGGUAAUGGGUAAAGAAGCACCGGCUAACUACGUG
rnacentral:rRNA from 1 species